CAGCCCUAGCCACCCCAUCCUUUUCCUCCCACAUAGCAUAGGCCUUAAGGGUUUCAGCCUUUUCCUGUACCACAACUGGUUUCUCAUACUGUAACACCGGCCACAGACCCUUAACCGUAAGCCACAGUUUCAUCUUUUUCUGCCAGCGAGAAAAGGAAACUCCCCCACCAAAUUUAUCGGGAAUACCCGAUAAAUCGAUAGGCUGUGGGAAACGAUACGUAGUCCAGUCGAUGUUACCAGUAACACCAGACCCAGAACCAGUAGCACCAACAACCGAAUCACCAAUUUCGUUAACCAUCUUGCUUACUACGCAAUAUAACCAUUAAUCACUUCAAGAUUGUUGGAAAAAAAAUAACAGUGAAUAUCACAGCAACAAUGUGUAGAGCAGUUAUAUUAUAUAAGCAAGAACAGGCAAACAAAAUCACAACUAUAUAGCAUGCACGAAGAUCAUAUACACAAUUAAUCAGCGACUGAUAAAUAACAAGAAAAGACAAGAAAGGCGUACCUUACACCGACGCUCGAAAAAGAGCACUGAACAGCUAAGUCACCUAGCCCUUAGACCGUCGCUCGAAAAAGAGCACUGAACAGCUGAGUCACCUAGCCCUUCGAUGAAGACUAGGCUGUUCUUGAAGUGAUUAUUGCCCCACUCCGCUGUGAUGGGUGUCGCAAUAUCGCUCCCAGGAUAAAACAGCACAGACCGAACCGCUCACAGACACGGAAACGAUCAACAACGACUAGCACCUCAAUUCGCCCAAAAAAUCUAUGCAACUCAUAUACGUUUGCAAGAUAGGCACUUAGAGAUCCUACUUAGAAAAUUCUCAAUUUGCCCAAAAAAAAUCUUUGCAACUAAUUCACGUUUGCAAGAUAGGCACUAAGAGAAUUCUCCCUUAAAAAAAUCUCAAGUGUACUUCUCUUUAUAUAGGGACAAGUAGUUGCUCUCUUACUAUUUUACUCGAUGUGGGAUCAAGUCACAAAAUAGUAAAACAAAACAAAACAGGUUUUGUUCAUUAUUUAUAUUGUUCAGAUUACUUAAUAUUAAUAUUAUAUAAUAUAUUCAGAGUCUAAUUAUUUAAAAUAAUCCCGACUCAAUAUAUUUAAUAUUAAUAAUAAAAUAAUCAAUAUAAAUAAACUUGUAAAAGAUACAGAAGUUUUUACUAGCACUAGGCCACACAAGCAUUCCACUUGUAUUAGUAGUUGUAAACACACUAAUACAAGAUGCUAUAUAAACUCCAUAAUUUUCUUUUACAAAAUCAAUGUGGGACUAAAACCACAUAACCCAUUUCAACUGAGCAACUUUGCCUCAAUAUAUUUAUGGAUUUCACUAAGAAAAUAUCUUAGAUCCAAAUACGAAAGUUUAAGUCCUCAUAGCAAGGAACAACCUCCAACUAUUAGUUUCCGGAAAUUACAUCAAGAACAUAUAUAAAAUAUGACUCAAACUUUUCCAUUUUCUAACACA
rnacentral:lncRNA from 1 species